rnacentral:Y_RNA from 1 species
ACGACGGAUACUUCCCGGAUCCGACGGUUGCGGGUUCGAAUCCCGCCCGGCCCCGGUCGGUAGCUCAACUCGGAAGAGCGUUCGGACAAUUCCGUCGUCGAUCC